rnacentral:rRNA from 1 species
AUAAAAUUUGCAUGGCCAUUUUAUGUUUUAUUUUUAUUUAAUACAUUUUAAUAUUCCAUUUACCUUUUUGUCCUUUAUAAUAAUACAUAAUUUCAUAUAUGCCAAACCACCAAUCUCCACUAUCAUAAAGUAAUAGUUUAAUUGAUAAAUAGAGACUUAUACUUUAGUAAAUCAUGGAAAAUAAACACUUAAACAAUUAGAAUGUAACUUUUUCAUUUUACGCGAUUUAGUUCUUUUUGCUUAAUUAACUAUCGAAAUGAUAAAAUUUUUCAACGAAACUUUAAUACCAUCUUUUUGCCACUCCGUAAAUAUUUAUAAAAAUAUUAUAGAGGCCUCUCCCCCUUAUUGUAUUCAUUCAAUGAUUAAUAGAAUUUUGAGAGCAUUCACUCAAACUUUUCUCUCAAGUGUUCUUAUUUUUCUGUGGCUUUUGUUCAUCUUUUGAGAUCGUUCUUACUUCAUUCUUCUGCUGUUCUUCGUGGGUUCUUUGGAGGAGUUCUAUUGAAUCCUCAAUUGUUGCGAGAUAGGCUGACUUAGGCGUUUUUGAGUGGAGAAACGCUUAAGGCCGUAUGGAUUGCUUGGGAAAACUCUAAGUCUGUGACACUAGUAACUGGUUCCCUCUGAAGUUUCCCUUAGUAUAGCUGGAGCCCUUAGCGAGUUCUAUCGGGUAAAGCCAUUGAUCAGAGGCAUCUAGAGCUCAACGCCCUCGACCUCUUCUCAAACUUUAAAUAGGUAGGACGGCGUGGCUGCUUCAUUGAGCAGCGCCACGGAAUCGAGAGCUCCAAGUGGGCCAUUUUUGGUAAGCAGAACUGGCGAUACGGGAUGAACCAGAAGUCAAGUUACGGUGCCCAACUGCGCGCUAACCUAGAACCCACAAAAGGUGUUGGUCGAUUAAGACGGCAGGAUGGUGGUCAUGGAAGUCGAAAUCCGCUAAGGAGUGUGUAACAACUCACCGGCCGAAUCAACUAGCCCCAAAAAUGGAUGGCGCUUAAGCGCAUGACCUAUACCCAACCGUCGGGGCAAGGGCUAGGCCCCGAUGAGUAGGAGGGCGCGGUGGUCGUCGUAAAACCCAGGGCGCGAGCUCGGGCGGAGCGGUCGUCGGUGCAAAUCUUGGUGGUAGUAGCAAAUAUUCAAAUGAGAACUUUGAUGGCCGAAGAGGGGAAAGGUUCCAUGUGAACGGCACUUGUACAUGGGUUAGUCGAUCCUAAGAGACGGGGAAGCUCGUCCGAUAACGUGUCCAGCGCGAGCUUCGAAAGGGAUUCGGCUUAAAAUUCCUUAACCAGGACGCGGCAGCUGACGACAACGUUAGGGAGUCCAGAGACGUCGAUGGGGCCCUCGGGAAGAGUUAUCUUUUCUAUUUAACGUUAGGCGGCCCUUGAAAAUCUAAAAGACCGAGUGCCAUCCGCGCCCGGUCAUACUCAUAACCGCAUUAGGUCUCCACAGUGAACAACCUCUGGUUAAUGGAACAAUGUAGGCAAGGGAAGUCGGCAAAAUGGAUUCGUAACCUCGGGAAAAGGAUUGGCUCUUGGGUCUGGGCAUGGGGGCCCUAGUCUCUAACCCAUCGGUUACCGAUGCACUGCUCAAGCUACUUUCAAGGUGAGAGUGGGUUGCCGCAUGCCGAUCGAGGGACAGACUGGGAACGGUUCCCUUAGGGGCCUUCCCAGGGCGACGAACAGCAAACUCAGAACUGGUACAGACAAGGGGAAUCCGACUGUUUAAUUAAAACAAAACAUUGCGAUGGUCCCUGCGGAUGCUCACGCAAUGUGAUUUCUGCCCAGUGCUCUUAAUGUCAAAGUGAAGAAAUUCAACCAAGCGCGGGUAAACAGUGGAAGUAACUAUGACUCUCUUAAGGUAGCCCCAAAUGCCUCAUCAUCUAAUUAGUGACGCGCAUGAAUGGAUUAACGAGAUUCCCACUGUCCCUGUCUACUAUCCAGCGAAACCACUGCCAAGGGAACGGGCUUCGCAGAAUCAGCGGGGAAAAAAGGCCCUGUUGAGCUUAAAUCUAGUCCGACUUUGUGAAAUGACUUGAGAGGUGUAGGAUAAGUGGGAGCUCUCGGGCGAAAUUGAAAUACCACUACUUUUAAUGUUAUUUUACUUAUUUAGUGAAUUGGAGGCGGGGCCGGCCCCUCUUUUUAGACCAAAGGUUGUCUUCGGCUGGCCGAUCCAGGCAGAAGACAUUAUCAGGUGGGGAGUUUGGCUGGGGUGGCACAUCUGUUAAAAGAUAAUGCAGGUGUCCUAAGAUGAACUCAACGUGAACAGAAAUCUCGUGUGGAACAAAAAGGUAAAAGCUCGUUUGAUUCUGAUUUCCAGUACGAAUACGAACCGUGAAAGCAUGGCCUAUCGAUCCUUUAAACCUUCAAAAUUUGAAGCUAGAGGUGUCAGAAAAUUUACCACAGGGAUAACUGGCUUUUGGCAGCCAAGCGUUCAUAAAUCCUUCGAUGUUGGCUCUUCCUAUCAUUGUAAAGCAGAAUUCACCAAGUGUUGGAUUGUUUACCCACCAAUAGGGAACGUGAGUUGGGUUUAGACCCUCAUGAAACAGGUUAGUUUUCCCCUACUGAUGGCCGCGUCGCAAUAGUAAUUCAACCUAGUACGAGAGGAACCGUUGAUUCGCACAAUUGGUCAUCGCACUUGGUUGAAAAGCCAGUGGCGCGAAGCUACCGUGUGCUGGAUUAUGACUGAAUGCCUCUAAGUCAGAAUCAGGGCUAGAAGCGACGCAAGCGCCCGUUGCCCGAUUUCCGACCCACAGUAAGGGCCUUUGGCCCCCAAGGGCAUGUGUCGUAGGUGCAGCGACCCCCGCAGACAAGUCGCGGGCGCCUCCUUAGAGCGUAAUUCCCACCAAG